rnacentral:rRNA from 1 species
GACGAACGCUGGCGGCGUGCUUAACACAUGCAAGUCGAGCGGUAAGGCCCGUUUCGGGGGUACACGAGCGGCGAACGGGUGAGUAACACGUGGGUGACCUGCCCUCAGCUCUGGGAUAAGCCUGGGAAACCGGGUCUAAUACUGGAUAUGACUCCAUGACGCAUGUUGGUGGGGUGGAAAGCCUUGUGCGGCUGGAGGAUGGGCCCGCGGCCUAUCAGCUUGUUGGGUGGGGUGANGGCCUACCAAGGCGACGA